rnacentral:rRNA from 1 species
CCUACGGGUGGCAGCAGUGGGGGAUAUUGCACAAUGGGGGGAACCCUGAUGCAGCGACGCCGCGUGGGGGAAGAAGCGCCUCGGCGCGUAAAGCCCUGUCAGCAGGGAAGAAAAUGACGGUACCUGAAGAAGAAGCCCCGGCUAACUACGUGCCAGCAGCCGCGGUAAUAAGUAGGGGGCAAGCGUUAUCCGGAUGUACUGGGUGGAAAGGGGGCGCAGGCGGCGAUGACAGCCAGGGGUGAAAGCCCGGGGCCAAACCGCGGGACGGCGCUUGGAACUGCGUGGCUGGAGGGCAGGAGGGGGAGGGGGAAGUCCUGGUGUAGCGGGGAAAUGGGUAGAUAUCAGGGGGAACACCGGUGGCGAAGGCGGCCUGCUGGACUGAAACUGACGUUGAGGCCCGAAAGCGUGGGGAGCAAACAGGAUUAGAUCCCCUGUAGUC